UCAAAGGAAAAAAAAAAGUUGGGUACUAAAAAAUAAUUUUCCCUUUCUUUUUUUCUUUUUCCUUAAAAUGUUUCUCACUUCCCUUUCUGCCUUUCAAAAUCUCUUCGUUUUGCUAUUUUUUUAUGAACUAGUUCUGCUGUUUAUGAAACGAUCCAAGAGAGGUGCGCUGUGAGUAUACCAUGGCUAAUUUCAUUAGUGAGAAAACCUAGGCUGCAGAUAGAUCAGCAUGUACCAAUGCUGCAACUUUAGCUCUUACUAUUGCUGGAAUUCCCAGGAGUGAUAAUGUUACUUCCUACAGUGCUGGCUACCUCAAUGGCGCUUCUCUGCUCGGUAACUUGUUCCUCCCUCUCAUUCAUCAAUUGUCUGAUUGAUGAAUCUGAUAGUAAUGCUAGUACUUAGGAGGAUAGAAUUAGGAAUAUUAUCAGAAUAUUGAGAUUAUAUCAGUAAUUAGUCAGGGCAAUUGUUACGAUUAUUUGUUAUAAUAUAAUAAGGAGGUAUGCAUUGGUUUAAUUGGUUUAGACUUGCGUGAUCUCAAGAGAGGGAGGUUUAAUACCUUGAAUUACUUGGUAGUUAUCUUUCUGUAUUUUCUUCACUAUUAAUAUAUUUCUUAGGUGCCCAUCAGAAUCAGAUGUGAACAUUCGUUUUUGUCUAACUUUUUGUUUAUUACCUUAGGCAUCAUAAGCUAACUAUAUAGUUUUUUAAAAUUACGAUAGUUUUCUUUCAAUCUCUUUACAAGGAUGUUCAUUUUGAAGCAUAUGGAUUUUUAAUUAAAUUCUAAAAAUAAAAACAAGAUUUUAGAAACUACCUUCUUUGGUCUUUAAAACUUGGCUUGGAUUUUGAAAAUAUCCCCGAAAAAAGUAGACAACCAAACAAAGAAACUUAUGAGUAGAAAUAGUAUUUAUAAGCUUAAAGCCAAAAUGGUUAUGAAACGGGCAUUUUAGGCCCCAUUUGGUAACCAUUUUAUUUUUUAUUUUUGUUUUUGAAAAAUUUAGCUUAUGCACACUACUUCCACCACCAAAUUUCUUCCUUUAUCUACUUUUCACGAAUGGUUUAAAAAACCAA